GCAGGAUUACAAUGAGUGGCAACAGCUGGAGUCGUUAACGCUUCAAUGGAAUGGAAGUAAAAUUCAUUGUAAAGUCACUGCGGACGCGGACUCCUUUCGCCGUGAUUUUCAUAAUUCAAAUUGACCGUAUCCUGGCGAAGGAUGGUAUAAGGGCCGGGGUCAUAAUGAAAUUCACUUUGUUUUCGCUGGGGCAACCCGAGCUUUUUUUUUUGCUUUUUUCCUGCUGGGCUCGUCCUUCCUCUUUCUUGGCUGCUCUCUCGUGAAGUGAAAAUGCCAUUCAAGCAGAAUAAUGCAAUAUAAACUGUUGCAGCUUGAGCGGAGCUACUCAACCGAUGAGGGCGCUCUGUGGGUUGAGAACUGGGAACUGGGAACUGCGGACUGGGAACCCGUUGACAAUCGACAAAAGACAGCCGACCAAGGAGGACAUUCUCACUUGUGUGUGCUCGAAGGCGUCUGGUAAAACAUGAAACCACAAAAGAGCUGGCUGGCUGGCUGACUGGCUGGAUGGCUGGCCCAAGGAAUCGUUCAUGUCAAUUAUUCCAGUUAAGUGAGCAGCAAACCAAAGCUUUGGCAAUUUUUUGAGUGCAUUUCAGAUACAAAAAAUUACAAUAUGAAACCCAAUACGCUGGGCGUAAUUCAAGUUGUGAGAAACUUAGCCCCGACUUGCAUGAAUUGCUCAAGAUCUCUGGCAGCGACAUAAUAAAGCAAUAAACUGCUUGCAGGAUAACAAACACAAGCAGCAAGAUACCCAAACAUCGGCUCCCCGUAUAUGUGCAACGUAUGUAGGAUAGGCAGAUGCUCCGACGAUCUCGAAUUUCACAUGCAAUCAAUGACAAAUUUAUGACUCCACAACAGCGGGCUCUUCAAAAUGCAUUCACAUCGGGAUGUUCAGGGACACUAGUCCAGCAGUUCCAUCUCCAUCUUAUUUUUCGCGUGCUCAUAUUUCUGUCAAUUUGCUGCAACGCCCCCGCCUCCACGCCAAAUUGAGUUAUAGCCCGAAUGCGAGCAUUAUCCUGACAGCUGUCCUAGCCCGACAUUUAAGUAUCUAUUUCACGCAUUUGCCAAAGAUCAAGUGCAAGUGCUCGAAGGAUCCACUUCAAUUGGAUUUACCUCAGCGGAGUGGGACUCUCCUCGUGGAAUUUCCGCUGCAUUGGGACUCCCCUUCGAAGGAACGCAAUCAGCCAGGAUCUAAGUGGAAAUGCAUUUUCACAAUAUCGUACAUGCAUAUAAUGAAAACAAGGCAGCAGGAAAGCAAAGCUGAAUUAAAAUAUGCAACAGCAGCAAAAAUAAUAAUGCCACCUGAAGGGUCCUAAGAGUGUGGAGUGUGCUAAGAGCUGAAUACAAGUAGCCAAAUAGCUUGAGACGCUAACAAAGUUUUUGCCCCUGCCACCGCUGAUAAACCCGCCCGAUAAGCGACACGCGACCACAAGAGGGUCCAGCCGGAGGGCCAGGCUAAAACCCAGGAACUUCGGAUCCCUGGCCAAGAGCGGGAACAGGAACCGGUACAGGUACAGUUUGUUUUGGGCCCGCAAAUUGGUUUGGCUUCUGCCACCGAGUGGGGGGCUUUUGGCUCAGUCUGGGCUGGAGGAUGGUGAUGGGGCAGGUGCCCCACCCACCAACUGGCGCUGGGCUGUCACACGGAAUGCUGCAACAUGGCCCACCGAGACACGAAUCAAGAAGGAAUACCAGUGCACAGAGACAAAACAUUUAAAGCUGGAAAGCAGUUUGUAAAAGUAUGUGGAAAGUAUAAAAGAUUUCACUCAGUUUGUUCUUGGCUAAUCAGUGGGUAAUCAAGCGCGCUCUUCUAUGAAUUUUGAAAAUAUAUUUAAUUCAACCGAAUGCAUUUCCUCGGAUCUUAGUAUUGCUGAAAAGUUAUUUUUCGAGUGUAUUUGAAAGACAACGACCAACACAAUAUUCUCGCCCCGGCUAUGUCUGCAGUUCCGUUUUGUGUACCGAUGUCAGCGACUGCUAACCCCACCGACGACCCAACCCAACACGGCGGGUCUUAUAUUAAUUGUCACGCAUAUGUCUAACCUCUGACAACAACAACAACAAGAGCCACAACCGCAGGAACAACACCGACCUGGGCCCAGAAAAACCACAGACGAGGUUCGCCGCCGCGCAUAUUUUUGGGUCUAUUGAAAAGCCAAAACCACAAGAAUGUUACCAAAAGUGUUGCCCAGCCAAAUAAAACUACUGUUGUUUUUAAUGCUCUUAUUGAAGGGGUAUAUAAGCGAUAAUGAACUUAAUUGAUCUUGUAGCAUCUGUACACAGCCCACUAUUUAACUACAUCCCCUCUUAAAUAUCUCGUAUAAGCCAUGCUCAUAAACAUCAAAACUAUAUAGUUCAAAUCAAAGAUACUAGCCAUACCCUUAAGGCUCUUCCGGUAGAGUAAAAUAUAUUCGUCGUACUUGUAUGAUCAA